UACGAGCGCACCCCUUAUCCUUAGUUGCCAGCACGUAAUGGUGGGAACUCUAAGGAGACUGCCGGUGACAAACCGGAGGAAGGUGGGGACGACGUCAAGUCAUCAUGGCCCUUACGAGAUGGGCUACACACGUGCUACAAUGGCAAGUACAAAGGGUUGCAAACUCGCGAGAGUAAGCGGAUCCCAUAAAGCUUGUCGUAGUCCGGAUUGGAGUCUGCAACUCGACUCCAUGAAGUCGGAAUCGCUAGUAAUCGUGGAUCAGAAUGCCACGGUGAAUACGUUCCCGGGCCUUGUACACACCGCCCGUCACACCAUGGGAGUGGGCUGCAAAAGAAGUGGAUAGCUUAACCUUCGGGAGGGCGUUCACCACUUUGUGGUUCAUGACUGGGGUGAAGUCGUAACAAGGUAGCCGUAGGGGAACCUGCGGCUGGAUCACCUCCUU
rnacentral:rRNA from 1 species